UUGUAAUCUUUUAAAGACGACUUUCUCAAAAUUGUCUUUGAAAUUGUAUUACGACGUCAGUUCUUGAAGAAACCAAUGUUGAAAGAAGGAGUUCAACAUCGGUUUUCAGAAACUGACUUUGAAAGGAACAAGUUUUUCCUUUUCAUUCUCAUUCGAUGGUACCCUAUCUCUAAAUCUCCCUCCCAACAGCUUCUCCUUCAAAUCUUUGUUCUUCUCUCGCCUCCCAACAUCACGAAUCUCACUUCCAUUCUCGCCUACCAACUUCCGUCAAAGCUCUCUGUCAAGGUGUGAAAUAGGCAUUUGAAGCAAGUCAGGAACAUUAAAGGUGCGAAACAACCAAUUGAAGUUGGUGUUCGUGACAUUGGUCAGAUGUGCAUGUUUCUCAUAACAUCAACGUGCUUUUGGACCGAGAUUUAGGCAAUGAGUUGGACAUGAUGGAUUCAAUUGUUGGAGUGUAGUAUCAGGAACCUCGACUUCACUCUUGGCGGCAUUAACACCAUUUUCCUAGUCCUGCCAAAUGGGAGCUUUGCCUUGCCACUAAACAAGCUCUGCAAUUGCUUUAGGACAACUAACUCAAGUUUCUUGCCAAACAUGUUUCUUUCUUUUUUUUUUGUUAUCUCUUCACUUGUUAAAGGGGAAUAGGAAAUUAAUUAAUGUGAUUGAAUCCUUAUCCUGUAGGUUUUUAUCAAUGUCCCGUGGUGUUGAAUUUGAAGAAUGAAGAAUUUGAUGCUAAAAAGAAAACACUCAAAACAAAAUAAUGAUUGUGGGCAGGAAUAGAAUCCCUCAAAGGAUCAUAUUUAUGCCUUUUUUUAACAAUGUAGACUAUCUUGGUCACUUUAUUUUUUCAAAGGUUAAGUAUAAAGUUGAUGCAUGUGUGUGUGUGUGUGGCAGAUAAUGACAUAUAGUAAGAAGGAUAAUUUUAUGGAAGUUAAGAAAUUCAACCUGAUAUAUUUAUAUCACAAGAUAAUUCUAUUUCAAUACUUCUCCUAUCGAAUGGUUAAAAGAUUUGUUGGUUCAUGCAAUUUUGGUUUCCACGGGAUCUAAUGUAGAAUUGUGCAUUAACUCUUUUUUGUUUGUUUCUUUGUUUCUCGCUUGCUUUUGCAGCCUCUCAAAGUCGAAAUCAAGCUUGCGCAAAGAUUAGAAAGAGUAAAGUCUAUGGAUCUACAUCCAAAAAAACCAUGGUAAUGCCUUAUCCUUGGUUGUGUUUUGUGAUUUUAUCACUAGAAUUAUUUUAAGAUAUAAAGCUAAAUUUAUAACCAGCUUUAUAAUUUAUUGCUCAUUAUAAUUUGGUAUCUCUUAGUAUGGCAUCUAUAAGGAUAGUUUGUGAACAUUUGUCACAAAUGGUAGUCUAUUACAUGAGAAUACUUCUUACAUUAUUCUUUUACUGUGGAGUUUAGAAAGAUAAUUAAAUAAUAGAUACUUGAACUUUUCGCUAAAUUGUGUGAUGUUACCAUCGUUAAUGUAAGAUUCUAGCAAGUUUGUUCUCUGAAACUGUCUGUAUCUGCAACUACCAAUCUCAGGUAUGUUGAUUUUUAUGAGUUGUAUAUUUUAAUAAAUAUAUGCCACCAGAUUGAGAAAUGUAAUGUUGAAUUCAUACAUGUGUUGGCACUUGAGUCAGACACAGGUGUUUGUUGAAAAAUAUGUCUCUAUAUUACUUGAAAGCAAUGUUAAAAAAUAUUGGUGUUCUACUAAAAUAUUAGGACUAUAUAUCUUAAGCUACUAUAGAUAUAUUAAACUUUAGUAGUUUAGCAUUAAAAUUUCAACCAGGUUUAUUUGCUUCCUCUCCAGCCUAUCAUUUUUCUCUCUGCACUAGGUCAUAAACUAUUUUAGAUUAAAUUCCACCCUUUAUGAAUAUCCUUGAUGUCCUUAUAGUUUUGUUACUUGUUAGUUGAGAUGUCUCUUAUCAAGUGAGUGCUUUUGUAGAUUUAUUAUUAGCCUUGCCCUUCUUGUGUACCAAAAAAAAAUGAUAAUCAAAUAACUUUGUAGAAUUAUUUUUUCUUUUGGUGAAAUAAAGGGGAAAACCCAUAGAAGAAGAAUUAUACUCUUGUACUUGGUUUUGUACAUUUUGUAUGUCAUAUUUUGUUAGUUUUGAUAAUAUUAAUUAGUAACUUCCUCCUAGGGGUGGGAAUAGGCCAGACCAGCCUACAGGGGCCUACGACCUGACCUACAUAAAACCUGACCUGAACUGAUCUAUUUAAUUAAAAGGUUAGGUUCAG